ensembl:lncRNA NSUN5P1 NSUN5 pseudogene 1
GUGCUGGCCGGCGUGGAGAGCCGCCAGGGCUCUAUCAAGGGGCUGGUGUACUCCAGCAACUUCCAGCCUUGAUGACUUACAAGCCCUCAAGGGGAAGCAUUUUCUCCUGGACUCCUUGAUGCCGGAGCUGCUGGUGUUUCCCGCCCAGACAGAUCUGCAUGAACACCCACUGUACCGGGCCGGACACCUCAUUCUGCAGGACAGGGCCAGCUGUCUCCCAGCCAUGCUGCUGGACCCCUGCCAGGCUCCCAUGUCAUCGAUGCCUGUGCCGCCCCAGGCAAUAAGACCAGUCACUUGGCUGCUCUUCUGAAGAACCAAGGGUAUGCCGAGCAGACAGCUGGAGGAUCCCGGGGCAGGGACACCUAGCCCGCGGCUCGUCUACUCCAUGUGCUCCCUCUGCCAGGAGGAGAAUGAAGACAUGGUACCAGAUGCGCUGCAGCAGAACCCGGGCGCCUUCAGGCUAGCUCCCGCCCUGCCUGCCCGGCCCCACCGAGGCCUGAGCACGUUCCCGGGUGCCGAGCACUGCCUCCGGGCUUCCCCCAAGACCACGCUUAGCGGUGGCUUCUUCGUUGCUGUAAUUGAACGGGUCGAGAUGCCGAUGUGAGUGAGUGGGGGCAUGCUUGGGAGGCGCAGGAUGGUACUGGCACAUCUAACAUCUACACUUCUCUAGCUCAGCCUCACAGGCCAAAGCAUCAGCACCAGAACGCACACCCAGCCCAGCCCCAAAGAGAAAGAAGAGACAGCAAAGAGCCGCAGCCGGUGCUUGCACACCGCCUUGCACAUAGCAGAGGCUCCAGGCUGACUCCUUCCUGGUGGGAAAGGAAGAUGCCUGUCCUCUCCGUGGAGGACCCUGGGCCCUCACCGCAGGCAGCAGUUUGCAUUUUGAAAGGUUAUUGGGUCCCUUCCUCGGGCUGUGUUCUUGCUGGUGAGCAAAAGUGUUGCCUGCAGAAAUAAAAUGCAGAACGUACUCUA